rnacentral:rRNA from 1 species
AUUGAACGCUGGCGGCAUGCUUUACACAUGCAAGUCGGACGGCAGCACAGAGGAGCUUGCUUCUUGGGUGGCGAGUGGCGAACGGGUGAGUAACGCAUCGGAACGUACCGAGUAAUGGGGGAUAACUGUCCGAAAGGACAGCUAAUACCGCAUACGCCCUGAUGGGGAAAGCGGGGGAUCUUAGGACCUCGCGUUAUUCGAGCGGCCGAUGUCUGAUUAGCUGGUUGGCGGGGUAAAGGCCCACCAAGGCGACGAUCAGUAGCGGGUCUGAGAGGAUGAUCCGCCACACUGGGACUGAGACACGGCCCAGACUCCUACGGGAGGCAGCAGUGGGGAAUUUUGGACAAUGGGCGCAAGCCUGAUCCAGCCAUGCCGCGUGUCUGAAGAAGGCCUUCGGGUUGUAAAGGACUUUUGUCAGGGAAGAAAAGGGGCAUGUUAAUACCGUGCUCUGAUGACGGUACCUGAAGAAUAAGCACCGGCUAACUACGUG